UACGUAGGGGGCGAGCGUUGUCCGAAGUUACUGGGCGUAAAGAGCGCGUAGGCGGGCUUCUAAGUGAGAGGUGAAAGGUUCGGGCUCAACCCGGAGAGUGCCUUUCAUACUGGGAGCCUUGAGUGCGGGAGAGGCAAGUGGAAUGGUCGGUGUAGCGGUGAAAUGCGUAGAUAUCGAUCGGAACACCCGUGGCGAAGGCGGCUUGCUGGCUCGUAUCUGACGCUCAGGCGCGACAGCGUGGGGAUCAAACAGG
rnacentral:rRNA from 1 species